rnacentral:rRNA from 1 species
ACGAACGCUGGCGGCGUGGAUAAGACAUGCAAGUCGAACGAGAGAAUUGCUAGCUUGCUAAUAAUUCUCUAGUGGCGCACGGGUGAGUAACACGUGAGUAACCUGCCCCCGAGAGCGGGAUAGCCCUGGGAAACUGGGAUUAAUACCGCAUAGUAUCGAAAGAUUAAAGCAGCAAUGCGCUUGGGGAUGGGCUCGCGGCCUAUUAGUUAGUUGGUGAGGUAACGGCUCACCAAGGCGAUGACGGGUAGCCGGUCUGAGAGGAUGUCCGGCCACACUGGAACUGAGACACGGUCCAGACACCUACGGGUGGCAGCAGUCGAGAAUCAUUCACAAUGGGGGAAACCCUGAUGGUGCGACGCCGCGUGGGGGAAUGAAGGUCUUCGGAUUGUAAACCCCUGUCAUGUGGGAGCAAAUUAAAAAGAUAGUACCACAAGAGGAAGAGACGGCUAACUCUGUGCCAGCAGCCGCGGUAAUACAGAGGUCUCAAGCGUUGUUCGGAAUCACUGGGCGUAAAGCGUGCGUAGGCUGUUUCGUAAGUCGUGUGUGAAAGGCGCGGGCUCAACCCGCGGACGGCACAUGAUACUGCGAGACUAGAGUAAUGGAGGGGGAACCGGAAUUCUCGGUGUAGCAGUGAAAUGCGUAGAUAUCGAGAGGAACACUCGUGGCGAAGGCGGGUUCCUGGACAUUAACUGACGCUGAGGCACGAAGGCCAGGGGAGCGAAAGGGAUUAGAUACCCCUGUAGUCCUGGCAGUAAACGGUGCACGCUUGGUGUGCGGGGAAUCGACCCCCUGCGUGCCGGAGCUAACGCGUUAAGCGUGCCGCCUGGGGAGUACGGUCGCAAGAUUAAAACUCAAAGAAAUUGACGGGGACCCGCACAAGCGGUGGAGUAUGUGGCUUAAUUCGAUGCAACGCGAAGAACCUUACCUGGGCUUGACAUGUAAUGAACAACAUGUGAAAGCAUGCGACUCUUCGGAGGCGUUACACAGGUGCUGCAUGGCCGUCGUCAGCUCGUGUCGUGAGAUGUUUGGUUAAGUCCAGCAACGAGCGCAACCCCUGUUGCCAGUUACCAGCACGUGAAGGUGGGGACUCUGGCGAGACUGCCCAGAUCAACUGGGAGGAAGGUGGGGACGACGUCAGGUCAGUAUGGCCCUUAUGCCCAGGGCUGCACACGUACUACAAUGCCCAGUACAGAGGGGGCCGAAGCCGCGAGGCGGAGGAAAUCCUAAAAACUGGGCCCAGUUCGGACUGUAGGCUGCAACCCGCCUACACGAAGCCGGAAUCGCUAGUAAUGGCGCAUCAGCUACGGCGCCGUGAAUACGUUCCCGGGUCUUGUACACACCGCCCGUCACAUCAUGGAAGCCGGUCGCACCCGAAGUAUCUGAAGCCAACCGCAAGGAGGCAGGGUCCUAAGGUGAGACUGGUAACUGGGAUG